AUAUCAAUAAGCGGAGGAAAAGAAACCAACAGGGAUUGCCCUAGUAACGGCGAGUGAAGCGGCAACAGCUCAAAUUUGAAAUCUGGCUCUCGGGCCCGAGUUGUAAUUUGUAGAGGAUACUUUUGAUGCGGUGCCUUCCGAGUUCCCUGGAACGGGACGCCAUAGAGGGUGAGAGCCCCGUCUGGUUGGAUGCCAAAUCUCUGUAAAGUUCCUUCAACGAGUCGAGUAGUUUGGGAAUGCUGCUCUAAAUGGGAGGUAUAUGUCUUCUAAAGCUAAAUACCGGCCAGAGACCGAUAGCGCACAAGUAGAGUGAUCGAAAGAUGAAAAGCACUUUGAAAAGAGAGUUAAAAAGUACGUGAAAUUGUUGAAAGGGAAGCGUUUAUGACCAGACUUGGGCUUGGUUAAUCAUCUGGGGUUCUCCCCAGUGCACUUUUCCAGUCCAGGCCAGCAUCAGUUCGCUCCGGGGGAUAAAGGCGUGGGGAAUGUGGCUCCUCCGGGAGUGUUAUAGCCCCGCGUGUAAUACCCUGUGGCGGACUGAGGUUCGCGCUCCGCAAGGAUGCUGGCGUAAUGGUCAUCGGCGA
rnacentral:rRNA from 1 species